UACGUAGGGUGCGAGCGUUAAUCGGAAUUACUGGGCGUAAAGGGUGCGCAGGCGGUUUUGUAAGCCAGAUGUGAAAUCCCCGGGCUCAACCUGGGAAUGGCAUUUGGGACUGCAAGGCUAGAGUGUGGCAGAGGAGACUGGAAUUCCCGGUGUAGCAGUGAAGUGCGUAGAUAUCGGGAGGAAUACCGAUGGCGAAGGCAGGUCUCUGGGCUGACACUGACGCUCAUGCACGAAAGCGUGGGGAGCAAACAGG
rnacentral:rRNA from 1 species